CAGCAAAGAUCAAUUGUUCACACAGGAUUCAGAACUACAACCAAAUCCUCUGGGAGGUGACAGUCCUGCAUCUCUGCUGUGACGUCACACACACUGACAGCGAUCGUAGAAGUUCAGUGUUUCCAGAAGAAGAUCAUGAUCACAGCCGCUCUGGUCCAACUCUCCGCUGCUCUGCUUUGUUUUGGAGGUGCAGCUGAUGGGAGCGAUGUCCACCAGACCGCUGUGCUGUGGAGGGAAACGGGUCGGUCAGCCACCAUGAACUGCAGCCACACUAAGGGCAGCACAUAUCGGCAGAUGUACUGGUACCGACAGCUGCCCGGGGAGGGGAUGGAGCAGGUCGUUUUCACCACUGCAUACAGCGCUCACGACUAUGAAAGCGGCUUCAGUGAGGUGAAGUUUCCAGCUGAGAAGAAGGAUGCUGAGACUGGAUCUCUGACGGUGAAGAACCUGCAGCCUGGAGACAGCGGAGUGUAUUUCUGUGCUGUCAGUGAAACACAGUGA